CUUAAAUGCAAUUUUACCCUCCUAUUUUGAUUGAAUCUGAAUUUUACCCCCCUUAUUUUAAAACUCGGAAUUUUACCCCCUCUAUUUUGAUUGAAUCGGAAUUUUGCCCCCCUUAUUUUAAAACUCGGAAUUUUACCCCCUCUAUUUUACGUUUUUCAGAAUUUUACCCCCUAUUUUAAAAUAAAGAACCAAAAAAUACUAGAAAAAUAAAGAAACGAUUAUAAA
rnacentral:lncRNA from 1 species